GCCUCAAACUUCCUGAAUCGAGGGACUAAACUGCAAUUAUAGGAAAAAAGGAAAAGAAAAAGCUGAAGACUACAGAGUUUCUCGUAUCAUCGUACUCCAUUACCAGAGAGCGCUACUAGAUCUCACACGGCAAAACGCGAAGCCAGGGUCUCAAUUGGGAGAGAUAGGUGAUGAUGGAUGGUGGAGUGCCAAAUAUAAAGAAAUGGGUGGUGUUAUAUCCUGUCUACAUUAACUCAAAGAAAACAAUAGCUGAAGGGAGGCGGAUUAGUGCAGAAAAGGCGUGUGAGAACCCUACUUGUGUUGAGAUUGGUGAUUGUUGUGGCCACCUCAAACUUCCAUUUGCAAUUGAGAUUGAUAAGGCGUAUCCGCGAGAUUUCAUGCAAGUAGGGAGAGUGAGAGUAUUGCUGAAAAGAGAAGAUGGGAGUUUAUGUAAUCCUGCAAUUCCUUCCCGAAAACAGCUUAUGUUCCAUGUUGCAGAACUGGUACCUAGACAUCCUGGGAGGACCAAAAAGCAGGAGCCUGCAUCCACGGCAAAUGUUUCAACAUCCAAGUCUGGGAAGGGUGGGAGAAAGAAAAGAUAGCCUUCUUCAUGAGAAAAAGGAUAAGGAACAUAGUUCAUUGCAAUCGGUGAACCUCAUUGCAAUCGGUGAACCUGGAAUACAGAGCAUGGAACCUUCACAUAACUCAUGUUGAUCUGUGAUUGUACACAGUUUUGAAAACCCCAUUUAAGGAUCAGAGAAACUAAUCUGGUGUGACUGAGCUCUUGGAUGUGAUGAUACUCGGAUAUCACUGAAAUGUCUUGUCGGCCCGUUUGGCUAAUGAGAACUUUGUUUUUUUUGGUUAUCUUGCUCUGUUGUGCUUUUGGAUUAUCACUAAAGCUUUUAUACAAUCAGAGAGCAGCAUGCACGUGAGACGAUUUUCCUACCUUGUGAUCUAUACUGUUGUGGAUAUUUAGCUGCGGCUGUCUUCUUUUU